rnacentral:rRNA from 1 species
GUCAGGCGGGACUACCCGCUGAGUUUAAGCAUAUAAAUAAGCGGAGGAGAAGAAACUUACAAGGAUUCCCCUAGUAACGGCGAGCGAACCGGGAGCAGCCCAGCUUGAGAAUCGGGCGGCUGUGCCGUCCGAAUUGUAGUCUGGAGAGGCGUCCUCAGCGACGGACCGGGCCCAAGUCCCCUGGAAAGGGGCGCCUGGGAGGGUGAGAGCCCCGUCCGGCCCGGACCCUGUCGCCCCAUGAGGCGCCGUCAACGAGUCGGGUUGUUUGGGAAUGCAGCCCAAAUCGGGCGGUAGACUCCGUCCAAGGCUAAAUACAGGCGAGAGACCGAUAGCGAACAAGUACCGCGAGGGAAAGAUGAAAAGGACUUUGAC